rnacentral:rRNA from 1 species
GAUGAACGCUAGCGGCAGGCUUAACACAUGCAAGUCGAGGGGCAGCACGGGUAGCAAUACCUGGUGGCGACCGGCGCAAGGGUGCGUAACGCGUGAGCAACAUGCCCUAUACAGGGGGAUAAUCCAGGGAAACUUGGUCUAAUAUCCCAUAGUAUUUAGAGGAGGCAUCUUCUAUAAAUUAAAGCUUCGGUGGUAUAGGAUUGGCUCGCGUGACAUUAGCUAGAUGGUGAGGUAACGGCUCACCAUGGCAAUGAUGUCUAGGGGUUCUGAGAGGAAGGCCCCCCACACUGGGACUGAGACACGGCCCAGACUCCUACGGGAGGCAGCAGUGAGGAAUAUUGGACAAUGGAUGGAAAUCUGAUCCAAGCCAUGCCGCGUGCAGGAAGACAGCCCUAUGGGUUGUAAACUGCUUUUAAUGGGAGCAAUAAGGUCUACGUGUAGACUGAUGAGAGUACCAUAUGAAUAAGC